rnacentral:lncRNA from 13 species
GUUUUGGUGAAGUUGAAGAAAGACUUUCAUGGGGACAAGGUGAGUUGAGGAAUUGAGAUGGAGUCAUGGGAGCAAAAACAAGGGCAAGGGAAGGGUCCUUCAGGCCCCAACCGGGCAGUGUUCUCAUGCCUGGAAGAGAGCUGGAUGCAUGUGUGCAUGUGUGCACCUCAGUGUGUGUGUGCUUUGCUGUGUAUGUGCUUUAGUGUGUGUGCUUCAGUGUGUGUGUGCGCUUUAGUGUGUGUGCGCUUCAGUGUGUGUGCUUCAGUGUGUGUGUGCGCUUCAGUGUGUAUG